GACGAACGCUGGCGGCGUGCUUAACACAUGCAAGUCGAACGAUGAAGCCGGAGCUUGCUCUGGUGAAUUAGUGGCGAACGGGUGAGUAACACGUGAGUAACCUGCCCUUGACUCUGGGAUAACUGCGGGAAACUGUAGCUAAUACCGGAUACGACCCUCGGAGGCAUCUCCUGGGGGUGGAAAGAAUUUCGGUCAAGGAUGGACUCGCGGCCUAUAAGCUAGUUGGUGAGGUAAAGGCUCACCAAGGCGACGACGGGUAGCCGGCCUGAGAGCGUGACCGGCCACACUGGGACUGAGACACGGCCCAGACUCCUACGGGAGGCAGCAGUGGGGAAUAUUGCACAAUGGGCGCAAGCCUGAUGCAGCAACGCCGCGUGAGGGAUGACGGCCUUCGGGUUGUAAACCUCUUUUAGCAGGGAAGAAGCGAAAGUGACGGUACCUGCAGAAAAAGCACCGGCUAACUACGUGCCAGCAGCCGCAGUAA
rnacentral:rRNA from 1 species